UUUGUUCCAAUUUUCAAAAGAUCACUUAUGUAACAUUUUAGUACCAAAUCAUGAACAUCUUGAAAUCAAGUCCCAUUUAAAGGAAACUCAACCACCAUAACACUUUUAGCAAAUCAUGAAGUCCCACAUCUGUAGAAAUGAUCAGGUUUAAAAUAAUCAGAACUUCCAAAUCCCCACAUUUGUACUAAUAAUCAAAUAUGUAGCACUGGUCUGAAGGUUUUCCUGACAGAGUGGUUGAUUUAAGAACAUCCAGCCACCAGGGGGGGCUGCUGCUCUCCAUCCCGCUGAGUGCUGCUUAUCGUGGUAGAAGAAGAGAGACAACGAUGAGAAGCUGAUGAUGUGGAUGAAGCUGUUAUAUUACUUUGUGUCAUGAAUCUGAUGUUUGUGGUUCAGUGUGCGUCCAGAGAAACAGACUGAGCCGGUCUGACCCCCGGUCUGACCCCCGUCCUCCUCCUGUCAGGGUGGAGCCUGCUGCUGCUGCUGGACCACCCACCACCACCACCACCACCACGGACCACACCAGCUCUGAGCAGGAGGAGGAGGUGGAACUGUGUGUUUUUAUUUCAUUCACACGCACAACAAACUGUCUGACGACAACAGGAAGAUGACACGUGUUGGCGACUGCUGGUUUGGAGGGAACCAUCAUUCCUGGAGUCUGGACUGUUCUGGUGACGGUCGGUACCGGCUCCUUCACAAUACAAGAGGAACAUCUUCCUCCUAGUUAUGUUAUCUGAAUGUCACUGACGGUUUUCUUUGUUGUCACUUAAAUGUGAUAGUAUGCAUAUUAUCUCUGUAUAUGAUGUUCAUGCUAAUAACAUUAUUAUUUGGAUUGUGUGCUAUGGUGAAACAUACGUUUAUGGCUGUUUAUGGAUUUAUAUUAUUCUUUGGUUUGUUCCAGAACCACACACACCCACCACAUCUCUAAGUUCACUCUCUAGACUGGAUUAAAGCACUGUAAAGGAAACUGACAGCUUCCUGCCUCUUCAUUUAAGUCUUGACACGCGCUUCACGAUUAAAAUACAGAGAAAGUCA